CAGCUACAUCUUAAACAGUUUGAUCCUUUUGAAAUGUCCUGUUAGAGGGUGGCAACAUUUUUGAGUAGUUGCUCAAAAAAAUGCUGAUUUCUCCCCUUCUGUCAUCAGGGGACGUAGUUUUGUCUUUCCUCUGUUCAUGUUGUUGAUCAGGGAAUGGUGCUCUUGAAAAUGGGCUUGUUGUCCAAGAAAAAGGGACAUCAAUAUCUGGAUAAGUUAAGACAGCCUGUGGCUGCUGACAUUGCAGUUCAUUGUUGUCUUCUCUACUAUGACGGAGGCUUUCACUUUGAUAUUCCCUCAAAGUGGUCUACCAGAAAACAUAGGGUGCUAUUCUUGUUUUUGGAUCGGCUGCCCAAGAAGGUUCUUUUGAAAUGCUCUGCCAUUCUGGAACUGAAGAAAAUCAAAGUGCCCGGGGAACCCAUUCAGCCCAUUAGAAAGUGGCCUCGCGCAUCUCCCUGGGGGCAGGCGAAGAGCUGAAAGGCAGCAUUAAGCUCCUGCCACACUAGGAAGUGACCGAUCAUGAAGGGGUCCAGAAAAAUCCAUUUUCCAAUCAGGAAAUGGCCAUCGUAUGCCUCUGGGAAGCAUCUAGUAAGCAGGGACAUUACCGGCACUCGGCGUCGAGGGAAGUCAAGAACCUGAUUAGAGACGAGACCACUUAGGAUGAAAGUGUUCGAGUUUUCCCGUUGAAGAAGCAUCCCAAUGAGGUGAAGAAUGGAAGAGAAACUGGCUACUGGAAGUCCUCGUCUUGUGACCGCUUGAGGUGAAGAGCUCUUCCGACAUUUCUGCAUUUGCGCCAUUUCAGGAGCUUGACAUUAAGCUAAUGAGCAAAGUGCUUCCGAAACCUGGCUAAAAGCAAAUUUAGAGAACUUCCGAAUCCGGUUUGCAAUGGCCCGGUGACCUAAUGGAUGCAUUCUGGCUGCAUACAUCUGCUUGAAGGAGCGGAUGAAGGGAGGGAUGCUGAGACCUAGGGAUGGUUCCUAUUCCUACAAGGCAGACGCAAGCCGGCAGCAGUGGUGAAGGGGGAAGAGGCGGCCAGAGGAAUGAGAGAGGGAAGCGAGAGGAGAAGGUGAGGAUGAAAGGGAUGGCUGCAGUGUUUGCGAAUGGUGAUCACCUGCCCAAACCAGCCUGAUGCCCGAA